GAUGAACGCUGGCGGCGUGCCUAAUACAUGCAAGUCGAGCGAACAGACGAGGAGCUUGCUCCUCUGACGUUAGCGGCGGACGGGUGAGUAACACGUGGAUAACCUACCUAUAAGACUGGGAUAACUUCGGGAAACCGGAGCUAAUACCGGAUAAUAUAUUGAACCGCAUGGUUCAAUAGUGAAAGACGGUUUUGCUGUCAAUUAUAGAUGGAUCCGCGCCGCAUUAGCUAGUUGGUAAGGUAACGGCUUACCAAGGCAACGAUGCGUAGCCGACCUGAGAGGGUGAUCGGCCACACUGGAACUGAGUCACGGUCCAGACUCCUACGGGAGGCAGCAGUAGGGAAUCUUCCGCAAUGGGCGAGAGCCUGACGGAGCAACGCCGCGUGAGUUAUGAAGGUCUUCGGAUCGUAAAACUCUGUUAUUAGGGGAAAACAAAUGUGUAAGUAACUAUGCACGUCUUGACGGUACCUAAUCAGAAAGCCACGGCUAACUACGUG
rnacentral:rRNA from 1 species